AAUAUUUACACGGCUUUUUCAAGAAUAUGUAAAAGUUCUGGAGCAAUUUGUCAGUGGACUUAUCGAUAAAAUAUACACCAGGAAUACACCGAAAUAUACCGUCUCUUCUUCAAAAUACACCGUAAAGCUUGGCCGUUUUUGUUUUCAUAUAAGCCCCAUGGAAGCGCCAGUGUAAAAAACCUCCGUUAUCCACUUUUGUUCAUUUUUUUCCGACAUUGUUGACAAAAUUGAGAUUUUGCUGAUCAUAAAUUAGUUUCUGAUGUUGUAUGGGCUCUAUAUGGCUCUUCUACACGAUUCUUACAUUGGUGCAUUGGACAAGAGGGUAUGACCAUAACGCCUUUUCAAAAUGACUGGAAAAUUUUAGAAAAUACUAUGAAAACUAGCACCACGUGCAAGGUGUGUGAGCUAGAUAUGGUGUCUAAACUGCCAAGAAAAUCAGAGGACUUGUCGAGCUUUUGACCCAAGUUAUACCCUGGUGAUCCACUUGAAUUAUGCCGCGAAAAAUAAUUCUAUUAUUUACACUUGAACUGUCCUAAUUCUUUACGUGAAGUGUACUUUUAAUACCCAAUGGUAGAUUCUGUGUCGAAUCGAUAUCGAUAAUUUGUGGAUCGUUAGGCGGGGCUUCUGAAAAUGGUCUUGCACUCGAAAAAAUGAGCAAUUUACCAUGUAUAUUUGGCAUUAAUCAUUCAUUUAUAUAAGCUUUCAUAUAUAUGUAUGUAUAUAUAUUUAUAUAAACAAAAAAAUAUACAUUUAGUCGGAACAUAAGAAUAUAAAAUUCAAAUUAACAAAAAAAAUACACAGUACAUAGUAUAAAUUACACGAAUAUAACACAAAAAAAAUUCAUCUUUCCAUUGAUGUAAAGCCACUUUUUUGUCGAAUGUCCUAGUAAAUUCCUUAUGCUGUAU